rnacentral:rRNA from 1 species
CCUACGGGUGGCAGCAGUGGGGAAUAUUGCACAAUGGGGGAAACCCUGAUGCAGCAACGCCGCGUGAAGGAAGAAGGCUUUCGGGUUGUAAACUUCUUUUAAGAGGGAAGAGCAGAAGACGGUACCUCUUGAAUAAGCCACGGCUAACUACGUGCCAGCAGCCGCGGUAAUACGUAGGUGGCAAGCGUUGUCCGGAUUUACUGGGUGUAAAGGGCGUGUAGCCGGGCUGACAAGUCAGAUGUGAAAUUCCGGGGCUCAACCCCGGACCUGCAUUUGAAACUGUUGGUCGUGAGGAUCGGAGAGGCAGGCGGAAUUCCUAGUGUAGCGGUGAAAUGCGUAGAUAUAUGGAAGAACACCAGUGGCGAAAGCGGCUCUCUGGUCUGUAACUGACGCUGAGGUUCGAAAGCGUGGGUAGCAAACAGGAUUAGAUACCCGGGUAGUC